AGGGACCGUAUAUGCUACUUUAAUGUCAUCAUAAUGUAAUAACCAGUUCACGUGUUAACAAGAAGGAGGUAAGACGCCCUACUAUAUCCACUAUAAUUAGAAUAACCGAAUAAAUAAAAGCAUAUAAAUAUUUUAAAAUUCACCUCGGAGUAUACACGAACACCUAUAUAUAAAGUUGACGUUUAUGAAUGAAUAAACUCAUCAUAGAUAUUUUAUUUAAAGGAUUAAUAUUGUGUACGCCAGACAUGCAUUUCGUCUAGAGUCCCUAGUGACACUUGCAUAUAUUUCAAAAAGAAAAGAAAAGAAAAAAAAGAGGCCAAAUAAAGUUGAAAAUAAACUCAUCAUAGAUACCAGGAAUACAAUUUAAUAUUUACGCCAGAUGGGCGUUUCGUCUACAAAAGACUCAUAAUGACGCUCGAAUCAAAAAUGUAUUGAAAGGAGAUGCAGAAUAUACGGCAACGAGAAUUCAAACCGACGACAAUGCACAGUCACUCUUCUAUCCUGUGACACUAAAUACGAACUAGAUGACGACGAGAGUAUUGUAUUCUCAAAACUUUGUGUCAAGCAUGUCUACAGCACAUGUAAACUCUUUUAUCGAUAAACUGUUGGUCAUAAGCGACAAUUACAAUUGCUCAAUUUGAUGUUCCUUUGAUAGUUUGGACUGUCUAAAUGUGUUUUAUGUGUUUUGUUCUAAUGUGUAUAUAUGUUAUGAUAUAAUCUCUGUAUAAAGG
rnacentral:lncRNA from 1 species